UAUUUCGCUGUCACUCUCAAAAGUCUCUGCUCAUGGUGAAAACUCUCCGACAAAGAACGAUCCGUUGAAUUGAGAAAGGAGUUGAGUAGGAAAUUCGUCUUUGUACGUUGUUAUCAUCAUCUCCACCGACGAUUUAAUGUUCAUCAAAUUGGAAUGGGGAGAUUCAAGUGGCAAAUUGGAGAGUUUGGUUCAAUCGAUUACAAAGUGGAGACCGUAGUAAGAGCUCAUACAAGAGAGCAAAUUUAACCACAAUUGGAAUCUUACGAGGAAGAAGUUAAAAUAGCAAUGGAGAAUGAAUGAUUACAAUGGAGCGAAGAUAUGCGUUGACGACAAUGCUAAAGAAUUUGUAUCCGAACCUUGAUUGGUUCGAAGUUAACUAACUCUGUUACAGAGGUUGUGCUUUCAUCUUGGGAGUCAGUCAGUCGUUGAGUUGCAGCCAAAGACUAGAUGAGAUAUCGUAUCGAAAUGCCCUUGUGAAGGAAUGAUGGUGACUGCGGCUGCUUCUCCAUUUGAUUUCUGUAGCCGUCCCCAGAUUUGGGAUCAAUGAGGUAAUUAUACCAAUACAGUCUUCAGAUUAAAGAGCGAGAGUGAUCGAAACAGCAAAAGAAAACAUGACCUAGCUGUUUUUUUUUUUACUUAAAAAAGACCCUGUUACUGGAAGUGCGUGCGUGCGCAUUACUGGAGCCGGAUUGGUAAUAGCAAAGUUGAUUUGAUUGAGUCGGUUGAUGGCA